rnacentral:rRNA from 1 species
AGGCCUAACACAUGCAAGUCGAACGCUCGUAGCAAUACGGGAGUGGCAGACGGGUGAGUAACGCGUGGGAACCUUCCCAGUGGUACGGAAUAGCUCAGGGAAACUUGAGGUAAUACCGUAUAAGCCCUUAGGGGGAAAGAUUUAUCGCCAUUGGAUGGGCCCGCGUCGGAUUAGCUAGUUGGUGGGGUAAUGGCUCACCAAGGCGACGAUCCGUAGCUGGUCUGAGAGGAUGAUCAGCCACACUGGGACUGAGACACGGCCCAG